AUGUGAUGAGCUUAAAGUUCAUUGGCAAAAAUGGAUGUGAGUUAUGCUGAUAUUUUGUGUUUAUAAUUGGCAAUCUUAAUUGUUUUCAUUGUAAUCUUCCGUCAUUUUUAAUCAUCUUUAGUCAUCUUGUUUAUCUUCCCAUUUCAUGUCCUUGUUGCUUUGUUGCUUGCCUCACCAAUUUCAAUGUAAAUAGGGAUUUACUGUUAAACGUGUUCACUGUCAGUCUUUCAACAGAUGACAACUUUUUUUUCAAGUACAAUGAACUAUGCUGAUUUGAUGACACUACUUGUUGAUUGUUGAUGCUUAGGAAAUGCUGUGAAUAUUGUGUUUAGGAUUAACAAAUGUUUAACAACUUGAUGUGAUCAAUGGUGGUGCUGUUUAACCUGUAAUCUCAUGAAAUGUCAACAUAACGCCAAAUCAAUAUGUAUUACUUGCUGUCAAAGGUUUGCCUUGAACUAUAUCACCAAAAGGUCGAUUGAUGUGGGAAAAAGGAUUGAAGAAAGUGAUUAAGAUACCUGUUUCAACUUUCACCUAAUUGUUGCUGUUGUUUUCAAUCAUGUUAAUAGAUGUUGAAAUGAAAAAUUUGUGGGUUGGUUCCAGUUUCUGGUAGAGACAUCGCUCAAAAUGAUCAACAAGCUGUAAAUUUCACAAACCGAGAGGCCGACCACAUUAAUAUAAAUUAGCGGAAAAUAUUGGAGACCAUUUUUAAUUGAAUUGGAUAUUUUAUUGUUAUAACUGUUUUGGACAGAAAAAGUUUCAAAUUGGACGUUCAUUGUUGCUGUUUAAAUUAAAUAUAUUGAUUGUGGAUUUACGUCUUGUUACAUGGUUUUAUUUGUCUGGUGACAAUACCGAUUGAUAAUAGAUUAUCAUAAAUAUAGUUAUAUAUAUAUAUGUUUGUGUGAUUGUAUGUAUAAAAGGCACGAAUAAAUUGGACGUAAACGAUGAUAA